GUAGCCAAUAAGAUCUGUUCAUGAAAAUGAUUCUAGCAGGAAAUAUCAGUCCGUUUCUUCAAACUUUCGUCCACGCAUUUAUCUAAAAUAUCUUAAAUAAUUCAGAAUAUCUGAAAAUAAUAAAAACAAAAAAUAUUUUAAAAAAUCAGGUCAAUUGUAAUCGAUACAUCAGUUACGUUUUAGAGUUACAUUGGGUCAUCUAUUCUCUCGAAAACCUUAGUGAAGUGGUGGUUAUAAAGGAGACUCAAAAAAAUCUACAAUCAGGAUAAUGCUCCGACGGCUUCUUGCGCACUACUUAGUCAACAACGAGCAACUCAUUGAAAAGCUGGCCAAUUGGGGACCUUUGCGGACUGCGGCGAGGAUGACCGUUUAUGUGUAUUUUAAAGGUAAAGCCAAACUGGAACACGUUAAUUGGGAACAAAUUUUUCGGGAACUCCGGCGACGGAUUAAGUAGAUCACCAUUUCGAGGCUACGAGUCUCGAUACGAUGGAUUCCCGUCAACUUUUGCGAUUUUAUACAAGAGUUUACUCUUGAUAAACGAAGGAGGUCGGCGUAGUAUAUGUGGACUAUUGUACAUAUAGGAGAUUAGGUUAUUAGCAAUAUUUAAUGUUGUCCGCAUAAGAAUAAACGAUAACAUCUACAAUUGGA